GAUGAACGCUGGCGGCGUGCUUAACACAUGCAAGUCGAACGAUGAAGCCCAGCUUGCUGGGUGGAUUAGUGGCGAACGGGUGAGUAACACGUGAGUAACCUGCCCUUGACUCUGGGAUAAGCCCGGGAAACUGGGUCUAAUACCGGAUAGGAGCGCCUGUCGCAUGACGGGUGCUGGAAAGAUUUUUCGGUCAUGGAUGGACUCGCGGCCUAUCAGCUUGUUGGUGAGGUAAUGGCUCACCAAGGCGACGACGGGUAGCCGGCCUGAGAGGGUGACCGGCCACACUGGGACUGAGACACGGCCCAGACUCCUACGGGAGGCAGCAGUGGGGAAUAUUGCACAAUGGGCGGAAGCCUGAUGCAGCGACGCCGCGUGAGGGAUGACGGCCUUCGGGUUGUAAACCUCUUUCAGCAGGGAAGAAGCGAAAGUGACGUACCUGCAGAGA
rnacentral:rRNA from 1 species